rnacentral:lncRNA from 1 species
GAUUGUUUCCAUGUCUUAUUUUUUAAGGAACUUUUCCACUGUUUUCCACAGUGGCUGCACCAAUUUACAUUCCCACCAACAGUUUAGGAGGGUUCCCUUUUUUCCAUACCCUCUCCAGCAUUUAUUAUUUGUGGUCUUUUUGAUGACGGCCAUUGUGACCAGUGUGAGGGCAUACUCAUUGUGGUUUUGGUUUGCAUUUCUCUAAUUGUCUGGUCCCUCUGUGUGAUUUCUCUCAAUUCUUGCCCACAUGCAGCAAGGAUUUGGAGGUGUGGGCAGUCUGGCAGGGGGACUAUUCCGGCUGGGAAAUGUGGGGAUCACAAUCGAACUCAAAUGGUAGUAGUGUAUAGCAAAUUUUAUUUAUGCCCUCAGAGAGAGAGCAGGCCACCCUGGAGUACAGACUGGCUCUGGUCACAGCUGGGUCUUUCCUUAUAUCCCCAUACAGUGAAUGUAGUUGGGGACCUGAAUUUUCCUGCCCUGAGCCCCACUCAUUUUCCUGUCCCAGCCCUGCUGCACCAUCUGUAAAGGCAGUGUUGUUUGAUCUCUGUAUGAGGGUGCAUUUUGAUCCUCUGGUUGUUUUCAGGCUGGAUACCUUAUUAGCAUGAGGAACAGGUUAUAUAGAGGCAAGGUAAGGAAUGGGUGACAUUUCUUCCCUAACAGGGAGUGAGCAGCCCAGGUUGCUCAAGGUGGGGGAAGGGGUAUUACAAUGAAACCUGGUCAGUGGCUUUUGGGUUUGAUCUUCUUGAUGGGGACUUGAAGCCUAUAACAUGAUAAUUGGCGAUAUUGAGCAACUUUUCAUGUGUGUGUUGGCCAUCUAGUGUCUUCUUUGGACAUUGUCUGUUUAGGUCUUCUACCCUAAAAUGGGCAUAUUAAUGCAUGACUCCGUGGAGUUAUGGUAAGAAUUGACCAAGAUGGACUUAGUGUUUCCCUCAACUUGACUAGAGUUUGGGCAGGCUUCUUUCUGCCCCUUGGCCCUUGACCUCACCCCAGACAUCCUAUGAUCCUUGCACCCUAUUCCACCUCUUAAAAACCCUACCACCCUUUGAUUCAUUGGAGAUAAGUUGAGAUUGAGUUAUGAAGAAAAAUGUGGAAGUCCUGACUAUUAUAAUCCUUCCAGGAAUACAUAGACAGAAGAGAAUAUGUUCAGAGAAUUCUUGAUUUUCUUUGUCCCACAAAAGAAAAACUCAGGGGUAAAGGAGAGAAUGGGUCUUACACAAAACUUUGAGUUAUUCAAAACUCUGGCAAUGCAUCAUAAGCCAUGGGGUGGGCACUAAACUAAAAGCACCAAGAUUAAUAAUUUUCUGAGCCAAAGUACCUGAAGAAGUCAGAGGCCUCAGAAACCUGCUGAAGGGCACUGAGAAUAGAUACAUUUUAUAAAAUUCCUUUAAAAGGCUACUGGUCCACACCCUUUUGUGCUUUGGAUUAUUCCCAGUGUUUACUGUAGAAAGGGAGAGAUUAGAGAUGAAAUAUAUAGUCAUAGUUAAUAUCUCACCUCCCUUCCAUCAUACCAAAAACAAACAAACCCAAACAUGCCUUACCUACCAACUUAGCUAUUUCCAUUUUCAUCUAUUCUUAAUUUGGGACUGGAGCUGUGGUCAGCAGGGGUUCAGUAAAUGAUUUUCCUCACAAUAGCACUGCUGCUCUCUGCCUCACUGCUUUUUUCCUUGAGGGCAGAGAUGUCUAGGAAUCUCAUCCUGGCACUAUAUUCCUUGGUUGUUGGUUUUCUUCGACUCCCCUCCUCUCCCUGACAGGAAAUAGGAGGACCUAGGUGAUACUUUUUCCCAAGCUACGGCUACCAUAGCAAUGAAUAUGCACUGGGGUAAGAUAAGCCGUGUUACCAGGCUGUAGAGUCUUCCUUCAAAAUAUUUGAUGGAUUAAUUCCCAGAAACCUGCUUGCUCUGAGAUAAGGAGUGUGUGAGAGUGUGGUAGAGGAGUGUGGGGGUGCAGAUGGUGGUGGCCAUUUCUCAUUCAGUCACAACUAUUGGCUGAAAAUUAUCAUUACAAACAUACGUGUCACACUAUUCAGGGUUACAGAAUGCCUGGGAGAGAACUGAUCUAGAAUGAGGGUAUAUAUGAUAAACAAUAGGUAUCAGCAGGAGAGAGAGGCAGCACUGGGCUCCCCCUGACCCCAGAGUCACGGUAUCUCUCUUUUUUAUCCUCUUUGUCAUAGUCAAGUUCAAAGAGAUUUAGCACACAGGGACACCAGGCUGUCAGCUGAAUCUUCACUUAGACUUGAACUUCCAGCCUGAAUCUCUUUAUGUUUCUCUAUGGUAAACCAGACUGGGCAAUACCAACAGUGACGGUUUGAAAAUUGUCUGUUUACCUUUAAUUUAUUCUGCCUUACUUUGUCCAUAAAUGCAUCUGUUUUUGUCAGAGCAGGCCCCAGAUGAGCUGGAUGCUCCUCUUGCUACUUUAAGCUUUCGGUUUCUAAGAGCCAGCUCACUCCUCUGUCCUCCUUCCUCCCCUCUCAGAAUACAUGCACACAUGGAAUCCUCUGUCAGCUCCUAAACAUUUUUAUAUUUAGAGUUAUUAACCUUAGUAUCCUGUUGCUAAACAUAUAGCUCCUCUGUUAUGAAGCCUAUGACUGGGCAAUAGCCUUCUUUGUAUUUGACUGAAGUAGGUGAUUAAGUUCUUGGUAGUGAAAAGUAAGAAAAUGUGUUGUAUAGAAAUCAUGGGAAGUCUCUUUCUUCCCUUCCACUUUUCUGAUACUGAUGCUUAAAAUGUGGCUGUGAUAGCUGGAACUCCAGCAGCCUUUUUGGAGUAUGAUGAUGAAGGCUACAUCCUAGCAAUCACAGAAAGAGUCUAUGUCUCUGGUGGACAUGGAGCUAUUAUUCUAGUCUGGUCCUGGACUCUUUCAUACUUUUUUUUUUUCUUGUGUGUAUGACAAAUAAACUCUUAUUAGCUAUUUCAUCUCCAGUUGGAAUAUUUUUAAAUCUUAUUUUAACUACAAUAUGUGAGCAUGUGCUAACAUGCUGAGUUUACUUUUCUCCUGUUGUUAUUCUAUUCUCCUGUUGUUAAAUUUCUGUGACAACUCCUAAUAUCUUUAUGUAUCUUCCUCUAUUUUAAAUUUUCCCUUAAAUAAACUUUAGUGGAAAUCACUGUUCCAGGAACUAUGCCAGGCUACUGGAAAACAAUGGUUAAUCUAUAAUACUUCAUGGCUGUGAGGCAUUCACCUGAACUCCAUUCCAAAGAAGUACAGGAGAAUGACAUCGGGUGAAUGUCACUACCACCCAAAUCAGCUUUGCUCUUGGCAUAUAGAAAGAGUAGGUCUGUCUCUGGCCUUGAAAAAAAAAUGUAGUAUAAUAGAAAAGGAGAACAGAAAGGCUUAAAAUAAUGAAUGUUUAUAGGCAUCCAGGGAGAAUGAAAUUAGUGUUUCUUUUCUUUUCAGGCUUAUUGUUGAAAAAUUAAUAAUCUUCUGGAGGUCUGCUAUUAAAAUAGAAUUAGCAGUGACCUCAUAGAGAGCCCUAAAACUUACAAAUUGUGUUCCCUCUUGCCUUCACUGGUUGGGUGCAAUCCAAAGUGCGUCGAUUAUGAAUGGUCUAACUUUUGCAAAACAGCUUUUCUUUUCUCUAAUUUUUGCAGUUGCUUUAAAAAAAAAAAAAAA